CCGGUAGCUAAGUGCGGAAGAGAUAAGUGCUGAAAGCAUCUAAGCACGAAACUUGCCCCGAGAUGAGUUUUCCCUGACCCCUUGAGGGUCCUGAAGGGACGUUGAAGACGACGACGUUGAUAGGCCGGGUGUGUAAGCGCAGCGAUGCGUUGAGCUAACCGGUACUAAUGACCCGUGAGGCUUAACCUUACAACGCCAGAGGCGUUUUG
rnacentral:rRNA from 1 species